rnacentral:rRNA from 1 species
CCACAAGCAGCGGCGCAUGUGUUUAAUUCGAUGCUACACGAAGAACCUUACCUGGGCUUGACAUGUAUGUAGAAAAAGAUAGAAAUAUCUUUCCUCUAAGGUUUUACCUUAGACACAUACACAGGUGCUGCAUGGUUGUCGUCAGCUCGUGUCGUGAGAUGUAAGGUUAAGUCCUUGAACGAGCGCAACCCCUGCCCUUAGUUGCUAACAGGUAAUGCUGAGGACACUAAGGGGACUGCCGUCGACAAGACGGAGGAAGGUGGGAUGACGUCAAAUCCUCAUGGCCUUUAUGUCCAGGGCCACACACAUGCGACAAUGGUGAGGACAAUGGGAUGCAAAAGGGUAACCUAGAGCAAAUCCUCAAAACUCACCCCAGUACCGAUUGAGGACUGCAACUCGUCCUCAUGAAGCUGGAGUUGCUAGUAACUGUGAGUCAGCUAUAUCACAGUGAAUACGUUCCCGGGUUU